AAUGCUGGCGGGUGACACCAUGCAGUCGACGAUGAAGGAGGAGCUUGCUCCUCCGGAUUAGUGGCGAACGGGUGAGUAACACGUGAGCAAUGUGCCCUUGACUCUGGAAUAAGCGCUGGAAACGGCGUCUAAUACCGGAUACGACCUGCGGAGGCAUCUCCUGCAGGUGGAAAGAACUUCGGUCAAGGAUCAGCUCACGGCCUAUCAGCUAGUUGGUGAGGUAAUGGCUCACCAAGGCGACGACGGGUAGCCGGCCUGAGAGGGUGACCGGCCACACUGGGACUGAGACACGGCCCAGACUCCUACGGGAGGCAGCAGUGGGGAAUAUUGCACAAUGGGCGCAAGCCUGAUGCAGCAACGCCGCGUGAGGGACGACGGCCUUCGGGUUGUAAACCUCUUUUAGCAGGGAAGAAGCGAGAGUGACGGUACCUGCAGAAAAAGCACCGGCUAACUACGUGCCAGCAGCCGCGGUAAUACGUAGGGUGCAAGCGUUGUCCGGAAUUAUUGGGCGUAAAGAGCUCGUAGGCGGUUUGUCGCGUCUGCUGUGAAAUCCCGAGGCUCAACCUCGGGCUUGCAGUGGGUACGGGCAGACUAGAGUGCGGUAGGGGAGAUUGGAAUUCCUGGUGUAGCGGUGGAAUGCGCAGAUAUCACGAGGAACACCGAUGGCGAAAGCAGAUCUCUGGGCCGUAACUGACGCUGAGGAGCGAAAGCAUGGGGAGCAACAGCUUAGAUACCCUGGUAGUCCAUGCCGUAACGUUGGGACUAGAUGUGGGGACCUUUCCACGGUCCUCCGUUGUCGU
rnacentral:rRNA from 1 species